rnacentral:rRNA from 1 species
UUUGAACGCGAAGAACCUUACCUAGGCUUGACAUGCACGGAAAUCUUGCAGAGAUGCGGGGUGCCUUUGGCGUCGUGCACAGGUGGUGCAUGGUUGUCGUCAGCUCGUGUCGUGAGAUGUUGGGUUAAGUCCCGCAACGAGCGCAACCCUCGUUCCAUGUUGCCAGCACGUAAUGGUGGGGACUCAUGGGAGACUGCCGGGGUCAACUCGGAGGAAGGUGGGGAUGACGUCAAAUCAUCAUGCCCCUUAUGUCUAGGGCUGCAAACAUGCUACAAUGGCCGGUACAAAGGGGUGGGAUACCGCGAGGUGGAGCGAAUCCCAAAAAGCCGGUCUCAGUUCGGAUUGGGGUUUGCAACUUGACCCCAUGAAGUUGGAGUCGGUAGUAAUCGCAGAUCAGCAACGCUGCGGUGAAUACGUUCCCGGGUCUUGUACACACGCA